UACGUAGGGUGCAAGCGUUAAUCGGAAUUACUAGGCGUAAAGCGUGCGCAGGCGGUUUUGUAAGUCUGACGUGAAAUCCCCGGGCUCAACCUGGGAAUUGCGUUGGAGACUGCAAGGCUGGAGUCUGGCAGAGGGGGGUAGAAUUCCACGUGUAGCAGUGAAAUGCGUAGAGAUGUGGAGGAACACCGAUGGCGAAGGCAGCCCCCUGGGUCAAGACUGACGCUCAUGCACGAAAGCGUGGGGAGCAAACAGG
rnacentral:rRNA from 1 species